UGAGUACGAGAUGCUAAGGCAUCGAAGCAGUCUAUGUCAUACUUCCAAGAAAAGCUCGCACUGUCAAAAACAAAUUAAUGCCUGUACCAUAACCGACACAGGUGGGUAGGUAGAGUAUACUAAGGGGCGCGAGAUAACUCUCUCUAAGGAACUCGGCAAAAUAACUCCGUAACUUCGGGAGAAGGAGUGCCUUUUAAAGGCUGCAAUAACCAGAUCCAAGCAACUGUUUAUCAAAAACACAGGUCUCCGCGAAGUCGUAAGACGAUGUAUGGGGGCUGACGCCUGCCCAGUGCCAGAAGGUUAAAGAAGUUGGUUAGCCCUGCGAAGCUGAUGACUGAAGCCCUGGUGAACGGCGGCCGUAACUAUAACGGUCCUAAGGUAGCGAAAUUCCUUGUCGGGUAAGUUCCGACCCGCACGAAAGGCGUAAUGAUUUGGAUACUGUCUCGGAGAGGGACUCGGUGAAAUAGACUUGUCUGUGAAGAUGCGGACUACCUGCACCAGGACAGAAAGACCCUAUGAAGCUUUACUGUAACUUGAGAUUGAAAUUGGACUUUAUUUGCGCAGUAUAGGUGGGAGGCUUUGAAGAUAUUCUUGUGGGAAUAUUGGAGCCAUCAGUGAGAUACCACUCUUGUAAUGUUAGAUUUCUAACUUUGUAUCAUUAUCUGGUCAAAGGACAGUUUCAGGCGGGCAGUUUGACUGGGGCGGUCGCCUCCCAAAUGGUAACGGAGGCGCACAAAGGUUUCCUCUGAACGGGUAGAAAUCGUAUCUAGAGUGUAAAGGCAUAAGGAAGCUUGACUGUGAGACUUACAAGUCGAGCAGGGACGAAAGUCGGUCUUAGUGAUCUGACGGUGCUGAGUGGAAAGGCCGUCACUCAACGGAUAAAAGUUACUCUAGGAUAACAGGCUGAUCUCCCCCAAGAGUUCACAUCGACGGGGAGGUUUGGCACCUCGAUGUCGGCUCAUCGCAUCCUGGGGCGGUAGUACGUCCCAAGGGUUGGGCUGUUCGCCCAUGAAAGCGGUACGCGAGCUGGGUUCAGAACGUCGUGAGACAGUUCGGUCCAUAUCCGGUGUAGGCGUUAGAAUAUUGAGAGGAGCCUUCUUUAGUACGAGAGGACCGAGAAGGACAUACCUCUGGUGUACCAGUUAUCGUGCCAACGGUAAACGCUGGGUAGCUAUGUAUGGAGUGGAUAACCGCUGAAAGCAUCUAAGUGGGAGGCCCACCUCAAGAUAAG
rnacentral:rRNA from 1 species